AUGUAAUGCAAAUAUGCUUAAUUUGAAUAGUUUUUCUGAAAAAGAAUUUUAUAUUUGCAGGACCAAAAUGUGAUAUUAACCCUGAAGACUGAGUGAUAGAGUCAUUGGCACACUCAUGUCUGCAAAAUCCUGGUCUUCCUUGUUCAUUAUUCCUUGUGCUGGUGGAACCAACAGUAAAGUGUCUGAGUUUUCAAAGGAAGGAUCAGUCAGCCGGUCUCUGAAACUUAGGUCUCUGGGGGAGAUGAAUUAAGCAGGGUCUAAUUUAAAGCACAGUUGGAGGAGAGGAAAGGGUUAGCAUGCUUCUAAGUGUGAGAAAAUGUAUUUGGUGGGAGGAGAGAAAUGUAAAUAGCCAGUGCCCAAGGCAAUCUCAGUGGAAAUAGAGCUGCAAAGUAGCUCUGAUUCUGCCUCUGAGGUAUUUUUUGAGGCCUAAAUAGCAGCUUGAUAGGACUUGGGAGGUUCACUGCCAUUUGAAAAUCCACCCCGGAGCCCUUAAAUUAUAUUUAUUACCCACUAAAUCAUUUAGCCAUCCUACGACACAGCCUGUGGCCACAGCAGUGAGCACUUUUGAAAUCUCAGGCCAGUGGUUAGAAAUAAGACUGAAAUUCCCUUUCUGCCUUCUCAUGUCAACAGCAGAGAGACUCAAGGAAGAUUUGGGUUGUAAUUUACUUUCUCCCCCCCCCUUUCCAUCUGCAGAAAGUAGUCAGAUUGUAACAUCUGUUGACAUUAUGCAGAUAAGGUAAGAAUGCCAGUUGCUGGAAACCCUCUUGCCCUGUUUGUGGGCUUCCCCUGGGGGCAUCCCCUUGGCCACUGGGAGAACAGGAGGCUGGACUAGAGGGGCCACUGGCCGGGUGCAGCAGCCAGGCUCCUAAGUCCUUAUCCAGGCGCUCACCAUUGAUGGGGAACUUCAGAGCCUCUGUGCUUUCUUGCAGGGGAGGGGGUCUUUAACUUCAAACCGGACUGAGGCCAGACAGCUGUUCAAGUGGAGUAUUCUUCCUUCAGCGCUCGUAAUGGAACAGUGUUUUCAUACAGAGACAUUCUGUCACAUAGGCACCUAAAAUCCCAGGUGGAGAUUUAUCAACUCAGUGAGAACUAGACCCAAGCGCCCUUGAGGAAUGUAGCUCAGGAGCAUCCUUGUAAUCUGCUUAAUAUGCCUAGUGUAACAGCCACCAAAGAGGAUGUGUCCAGUUUAAGAAAAUAAUACCUUUGUCAUGAACUCUCCAGGUAGCCUGGCACGCUCAUCAUCAGCUUCUUCCCCCUCACCUUCAAC